CCGCCAUGAGUGAAGGAGCAGGCUGCUCCCAGCUGUGAGGGAUGUGGGCACCCAGGUCCAACCCUCAGACCUCAUGGUGCAUGGCCAGGACUUCAUGCUAAGCGACUCCUCAGAGUCCCAAAGYGCAGACCUGCAGCUUCUGGGACUGCAAGUGUCCCCUGCAGAGGUGUCCCAGGGAGAAACAGCAUCUUCUGUGCCAGACGUCCCCCUGCAGUUGGAGGCGAUGCUCAGAGACAUUUUGGAGGAGGCUGCCACCACCAGCACCGAGAGCCGAGCACACAGCCCUCCCUGCGCUGAGCUGCCUGAUGGGAGUGAACUAGCCCAAGAGAAGUCCACCUCGCUUUUGCCACCUGAAUCAGCCAGCGUUGCUCCUGCCAUCCUCAGUGACGUGGGCACAGCAGCGGGGGCUGAGAGCCAGGGGCCAGCCCCACACAGCCCCACACCACCUGCCGCGGCUCAGGAGGACGCGGUGCAGGGGCUCGUGGCUGCAGCCCUGAGCYGUGCUGAGGACGCGAGCCCGGGCCCCAGCCAGCAGCCAGCACAGCCAGGCGGGGACGAAGCUGCAGAGGAGCUUGAUGCGGCCGUGCCACAGGGUCUGGUGGCACAYGCCAUCAGUCCACUGCCACCGGCAAGGACAGCCCACGAGCAGACCAUCGAGCAUGCCGAAAGCGCUACCCCUGCAGCUCAGCAAGGACCAGGUCACCACGCUCGCAGGGGCAAGAGGGCUGCCAAAGCUGCCAGCGAGCCAGCUUCCCCUGUCGUCAGCAGUGGGCCAGGGCAUAUGGGACCGGCACCAGCAGGGCGGGAGGUGGCAGCAGGGCCGAGAGUCGUGCCAGUGCUGUGGGACGAGCAGCGGAGCUCCAGUGAGGAUGAAGAAGGGGAGGGCGAUGCUGAAAGAAUCAUUUUAGAACGGAGACACCUGGAGAGAGAGCCCUCCAUCCGCACCAUCUGGGUCAGAGACAGUUUGCAGAACCUGCCCAUGUUGCCCGGGGGCAGGGUCAGAGGCCCUCGCAGAGAUGCCGCCGGCGACUCGCAGCUCCCACCUCUCCCCCUGGCAGCACCCGCCGAAGCCGAGGCUGCAGGUCUGCCCUUGGCUGGAGCCCCUCGGGAGCAGGGCAGCAGGGUGCCCCUYGCCCCAGUAGUGCCCGAAGAGGAAAGCCCAGUGGCUUUGCCCUUGGCUGGAGCCUCUUGGGAUGAGGGGGUGCAUCGCCUCCCAGAAGACCCUGAAGAAGAAGAGCCAGCGGCUUUGCCCAUGGUUGGAGGCCCCUGGGAUGAGGUGAGCAAGGAGCGCGUGGUGGGCACUGACCGUCCAAGGGAGCCGGCUGUGGCAGCUCCGUGUGGCAUGUGUGUGGUGGGGAGAUGCGCUGUGGUCACUGGUGCAGCCUGCCGGAAGCACCAGGGCUGACACCCCCUCCAUGGUCUGCAUUGCCUUCGAGCGUGGGGUCRGAUGCCGAGCGAGGAGGGAAGGGGCCGGUCCCCGCAGCAG
rnacentral:lncRNA from 1 species